rnacentral:lncRNA from 1 species
UUCACAAAGAAACUCAUCUUAUAUAGAGAGAUAUGAUAGAGUCCUUAUCUAGGUCAAACACCUAGUCAAGGCUUAUCCAAACAUGGCAAGUUAAGGGACGCCCAACUCUUGAGCACCUCCUCCAUAUUUUUGUGCAUGGAUUAUCAGAAAAGGGUGCACAAUGUAUACCCUAAAAGCUACAAAAAUUUCAAAAAAAAUUUGGAUAAAUUCGGUGCAAAAUUGAAAGAGUUUUGGAUUUCUAAAACUCUAUCUCAUAGAAUUCGAAAUCCAAACUUAUUCCUUUUAGAUUUGAUCCAAACCACCUUCCAUGUAAGAAAGAAGAGAGGAGACCUUUUGUGAACAUGGGNNN